AUUGAACGCUGGCGGCAUGCUUUACACAUGCAAGUCGGACGGCAGCACAGAGAAGCUUGCUUCUUGGGUGGCGAGUGGCGAACGGGUGAGUAACAUAUCGGAACGUACCGAGUAGUGGGGGAUAACUGAUCGAAAGAUCAGCUAAUACCGCAUACGUCUUGAGAGGGAAAGCAGGGGACCUUCGGGCCUUGCGCUAUUCGAGCGGCCGAUAUCUGAUUAGCUAGUUGGUGGGGUAAAGGCCUACCAAGGCGACGAUCAGUAGCGGGUCUGAGAGGAUGAUCCGCCACACUGGGACUGAGACACGGCCCAGACUCCUACGGGAGGCAGCAGUGGGGAAUUUUGGACAAUGGGCGCAAGCCUGAUCCAGCCAUGCCGCGUGUCUGAAGAAGGCCUUCGGGUUGUAAAGGACUUUUGUCAGGGAAGAAAAGGCUGUUGCUAAUAUCAGCGGCUGAUGACGGUACCUGAAGAAUAAGCACCGGCUAACUACGUGCCAGCAGCCGCGGUAAUACGUAGGGUGCGAGCGUUAAUCGGAAUUACUGGGCGUAAAGCGAGCGCAGACGGUUACUUAAGCAGGAUGUGAAAUCCCCGGGCUCAACCUGGGAACUGCGUUCUGAACUGGGUGACUAUAGUGUGUCAGAGGGAGGUAGAAUUCCACGUGUGCAGUGAGAUGCGUAUAGAUGUGGAGGAAUACCGAUGGCGAAGGCAGCCUCCUGGGAUAACACUGACGUUCAUGCUCGAAAGCGUGGGGUAGCAAACAUGAUUAUAUACCCUUGGAGUCCCAGGGCUAAUUCCACAGUGGAUAUCACGCUUAUGUUACCGGCGACGUGCGUGGAAUGGGCGCGGUACACAGCUUUUGUUCCCUUUAUGAGUGUUAAUUAAAUCUGAGCCAUGUGUGUGGUUGUGUGUGUUGGUGUUUGUUGUGGUGGUGGGAUGUUGUAGCUGUGAUGAUUUGGUGUUGUGUGUGUGUCGUCGUGUGUGGUACGGUAUGGUGAUGUAGGUGUAUUGUGUGAGGUGCGGUGUGUAUGUGUGAGGUGUGAUGUGUGCUGUUGUUGCUUUGCUUGUGUGUUGUGUGUCGCGUGAGUGUGGUGUGUGAGGUUGCUCUUGUCGUCUAGUAGUGCUCGUGAGUUGUGUGUGA
rnacentral:rRNA from 1 species